GACGAACGCUGGCGGCGUGCUUAACACAUGCAAGUCGAGCGGUAAGGCCCUUUCGGGGGUACACGAGCGGCGAACGGGUGAGUAACACGUGGGUGACCUGCCCUCAGCUCUGGGAUAAGCCUGGGAAACCGGGUCUAAUACUGGAUAUGACUCCAUGACGCAUGUUGUGGGGUGGAAAGCCUUGUGCGGCUGAGGAUGGGCCCGCGGCCUAUCAGCUUGUUGGUGGGGUGAGGCCUACCAAGGCGACGAC
rnacentral:rRNA from 1 species